GGACGCUGUCCAUGCUGCAGUGUAACAUCUUCCCGGGGCUGCCACCCGACUUCCUGGACACCGAGGUCAACCUCUUCCUGGUGCCCUUCAUGGACAGUGAAGCCGAGAGCGAGAACCCCCCGCGAGCAGGGCCCGGCUCCAGCCCCCUCUUCUCCCUGCUGCCCGGGUACCGCGGCCACCCCAGCUUCCAGUCCUUGGUGAGCAAGCUCCGCAGCCAGGUGAUGUCCAUGGCACGGCCGCAGCUGUCGCACACCAUCCUCACCGAGAAGAACUGGUUCCACUACGCAGCCCGGAUCUGGGAUGGGGUGAAGAAGUCCUCAGCCCUAGCCGAGUACAGCCGCCUGCUGGCCUGAGGCCCACACAGGAGAGGCGCUCCGUCCCGUGGGCCGUCUGUGGACAGCCAGGCCACACAGUCAUCCCCCGGCCGGGAGCAGAGCGCAGGCCUGCAGAGGGUUUGUGGCAGCCCGCCAGAUGUGAGUGGAGAGUGGUGUGGCGCCCUGCCCUGGCCGCAGUGUGGGCCACACGGCCACACGCCUUUGCGCAGGCCUCCGUGUUGCCGCAGUUUCCUGCGUUCUCUGCGUUGUCCUUUGAUGAAGACACCAUCUCUGUUGAGCUGCCCCUGCUGGGUGGCCUUUCCUCUUAGCUCUGCUCUGCCUUUCUGGCCUCUGCGAGUAACCAACACCGACGGCCUGAAGUCUGCCCUGAUGACGGCCCCUCCCAGAAGAGCCUGGGGAAGCACCAUGUGCUUGCUUUCGCAUCUUCAGUCCGGAGAGACUGGUGUGUGACCUUCACAUGGCCCUCAGGCCUGGGCCCUCUCCACCCAAGGUGGCCCAGCUCUUCCCUGCCAAAGCUGCAGCUCACGCCACACACGGGAACUCGUGCCCUGAGUCCCAGUGCUCACAGCCGG